rnacentral:SRP_RNA from 1 species
GCCGAACUCAGUAGCGAGAGUUUGUGACUCAAGCGAGGGCAUCAGUGUGGUUGGAGAUUGGUCUGGCUGGGUUGGUAAGGCCUGAUGGGGUAAUUGGCCUGGUUCGCCCAUUCCAAGUGGGGAGUUGAGCCCCGCGAUCCGGGCGAAAGUCUGGGUCUUAGGGUUCUUAGAGAUGGAGGGCACCGCGUGAGGCUGGUUUCACAGAGCAGCGUUCACUUCCCGCUCUCUUCGGUGGAAGGAUAACGGGCCGGGACUCCGAAGGCCCAACAACGCCUACCCAGCUACCCUCAACCCGACAAUCACAUUU